CCAGCUCCAAUAGCGUAUAUUAAAGUUGUUGCAGUUAAAAAGCUCGUAGUUGGACUUUAGGCAAGGCGGUCUGGUCGCCCACUGGGUGUACUGGGCUCGCCGCGCCUCACCUUCGGGGAACUAGUCGUGCUUCGGUGCGCUGGGGAACCGAGCCUUACUUUGAAGAAAUUAGAGUGUUUAAAGCAGGCUUACGCUUGAAUACAUCAGCAUGGAAUAACAAUAUAGGACUUUGGUUCUAUUUUGUUGGUUUGAGGACCAAAGUAAUGAUUAAUAGGGACAGUUGGGGGCAUUAGUAUUCUAUAGUCAGAGGUGAAAUUCUUGGAUUUAUAGAAGACUAACUAAUGCGAAAGCAUUUGCCAAGGAUGUUUUCA
rnacentral:rRNA from 1 species